rnacentral:rRNA from 2 species
CAGUGAAAUCGAGUAGGACGGAGCACGAGAAACUUUGUCUGAAUAUGGGGGGACCAUCCUCCAAGGCUAAAUACUACUGACUGACCGAUAGUGAACUAGUACCGUGAGGGAAAGGCGAAAAGAACCCCGGAGAGGGGAGUGAAAUAGAUCCUGAAACCGUAUGCGUACAAGCAGUGGGAGCCUACUUUGUUAGGUGACUGCGUACCUUUUGUAUAAUGGGUCAGCGACUUAUUUUCAGUGGCAAGCUUAACCGAAUAGGGGAGGCGUAGCGAAAGCGAGUCUUAAUAGGGCGUCUAGUCGCUGGGAAUAGACCCGAAACCGGGCGAUCUAUCCAUGGGCAGGUUGAAGGUUGGGUAACACUAACUGGAGGACCGAACCGACUACCGUUGAAAAGUUAGCGGAUGACCUGUGGAUCGGAGUGAAAGGCUAAUCAAGCUCGGAGAUAGCUGGUUCUCCUCGAAAGCUAUUUAGGUAGCGCCUCAUGUAUCACUGUAGGGGGUAGAGCACUGUUUCGGCUAGGGGGUCAUCCCGACUUACCAAACCGAUGCAAACUCCGAAUACCUACAAGUGCCGAGCAUGGGAGACACACGGCGGGUGCUAACGUCCGUCGUGAAAAGGGAAACAACCCAGACCGUCAGCUAAGGUCCCAAAGUUAUGGUUAAGUGGGAAACGAUGUGGGAAGGCUUAGACAGCUAGGAGGUUGGCUUAGAAGCAGCCACCCUUUAAAGAAAGCGUAAUAGCUCACUAGUCGAGUCGGCCUGCGCGGAAGAUUUAACGGGGCUCAAACCAUACACCGAAGCUACGGGUAUCACUUAGGUGAUGCGGUAGAGGAGCGUUCUGUAAGCCUGUGAAGGUGAGUUGAGAAGCUUGCUGGAGGUAUCAGAAGUGCGAAUGCUGACAUGAGUAACGACAAUGGGUGUGAAAAACACCCACGCCGAAAGACCAAGGUUUCCUGCGCAACGUUAAUCGACGCAGGGUUAGUCGGUCCCUAAGGCGAGGCUGAAAAGCGUAGUCGAUGGAAAACAGGUUAAUAUUCCUGUACUUCUGGUUAUUGCGAUGGAGGGACGGAGAAGGCUAGGCCAGCUUGGCGUUGGUUGUCCAAGUUUAAGGUGGUAGGCUGGAAUCUUAGGUAAAUCCGGGAUUCUAAGGCCGAGAGCUGAUGACGAGUUGUCUUUUAGACAACGAAGUGGUUGAUGCCAUGCUUCCAAGAAAAGCUUCUAAGCUUCAGAUAA